UACGAAGGGGGCUAGCGUUGCUCGGAAUCACUGGGCGUAAAGCGCACGUAGGCGGAUCUUUAAGUCAGGGGUGAAAUCCCAAGGCUCAACCUUGGAACUGCCUUUGAUACUGGGGAUCUCGAGUCCGGAAGAGGUUGGUGGAACUGCGAGUGUAGAGGUGAAAUUCGUAGAUAUUCGCAAGAACACCAGUGGCGAAGGCGGCCAACUGGUCCGGUACUGACGCUGAGGUGCGAAAGCGAGGGGAGCCAAACAGGG
rnacentral:rRNA from 1 species